AUGAACGCUGGCGGCGUGCCUAAUACAUGCAAGUCGAGCGGUAAGGCCCUUCGGGGUACACGAGCGGCGAACGGCUGAGUAACGCGUGGGAAUUCACCCCAAAGUGAGGGAUAAGCAUCGGAAACGGUGUCUAAUACCGCCUAUGGUCUUCGGAUUAAAGUUUUAUACGCUUUGGGAGAAGCACGCGUACGAUUAGAUAGUUGGUGAGGUAAUGGCUCACCAAGUCUACGAUCGUUAGCUGGUCUGAGAGGAUGAUCAGCCAGACUGGAACUGAGACACGGUCCAGACUCCUACGGGAGGCAGCAGUAAGGAAUCUUCCACAAUGGACGAAAGUCUGAUGGAGCAACGCCGCGUGCAGGAUGAAGGCUUUCGGGUCGUAAACUGCUUUUGUUAGCGAAGAAUUUGACGGUAACUAACGAAUAAGGAUCGGCUAACUCCGU
rnacentral:rRNA from 1 species